rnacentral:ncRNA from 2 species
UUGUGUUUUAGAGGCUGCGAUGAGCAAAUAGUACAUUGGAAAAGGCAAGGGAGCUGUUUUGAUAUCCAAUGGAAAGGUGCAAUCGCCGAAGCGUUGAUCUGUUCCCUACGGGUUAACUGCUGGGACCAUGUUGAAUAAGCAUGGGACUGUCAUCGGUAAAUCACCCAGUUUAUCGAUGGAGUGCUACUUCACAC